rnacentral:misc_RNA from 1 species
UCCGGUUUAUCACCGGCAGUCUCCCCAGAGUGCCCAGCAUUACCUGAUGGCAACAGAGGACAAGGGUUGCGCUCGUUGCGGGACUUAACCCAACAUCUCACGACACGAGCUGACGACAGCCAUGCAGCACCUCGACGAGUGUCCUUGCGGAAGCCGGCUUUCGCCGGAUGUCACUCGCCGUUCGAGCCUGGGUAAGGUUCUUCGCGUUGCGUCGAAUUGAACCACAUGCUCCACCGCUUGUGCGGGCCCCCGUCAAUUCCUUUGAGUUUCAGCCUUGCGGUCGUAAUCCCCAGGCGGGGUGCUUAAUGCGUUAGCUACGGCACGGAGGGAGUGGAUAACCCCCCACACCUAGCACCCAUCGUUUACGGCGUGGACUAC